GUUAGUCAAAAACAAGGAUAAAUCCACGAUAGAGAGAAUCAAUUUGGUUAGGUUGUUGAUGGAGAAAGAACCAUCCUCUCCAGCUAAUGUCCUGGAAGAUACGACAUUCAAAGUGACAAAGCAAGCUAAUUCUAUUUAUUAUUACAGUAAUCAAACAACAACAGAUGAUGGAUCAAGGAUAUAUAAUUAGCGGUUAGCCUACAACUAUGUCAUCUUCUUUGGAUUAUAAACAAAUUUAUGGCUGGAGCAGCAUGCAACUAAGAACUACAGUUCAAUAAACAUCAAUUAACCACCCUCACAUGCAAACUAGAUUGGUCCACACCAUGGUGAAACAAGUUUCUAUCCGGUUUUGGCUCCUUGUGCUGGCCGACUUCUCAUCUGAUGGUUUCUCCUCCCGUAUAGGGAGUAAACAGAUAACUUGCCACUCCUUUGAGAAUAUUUCCUAGUCUAUCAACCAUGUUAUAAGGCUGUUGAAACUGGAAUGAAGAACCUCCACUAUCUUCAGUUUUGGCUCUUCGACUUCCACAACACAAAUCGCAGCAGGUCCUUUAUAUGUGAAUGCUCAAGCUACUACUGGAACCCUUAAAUGUGUUUUUUAAUUAUUGAAGUGUCUCAGCAACGCUGACAGGUGUUGAAAGCUGGACUGCAAUGCAACAUGGAGCCAGAAGCUUGCUACUGUCGAGACUAGCAGCUAUCGAGCUCAGCUCAUUUUGCUUGGUGCGCACGAAUGGUUUUUGAACCGAAUGAAGCAACCAACUUUGCUGUUUUGUUUUGAUGUAAUUUGGUUCGGUUCAAUUUUAGUUUGUUUGUAAUACUAGUUAAACUUAAGUUAGUGAUAAGAUCUUUUGAUGUAAUGGCUGAUUGGUCAGCUAUGUUUGAUUAUUUUUGGCUAGUGAUUAGGUUUGUGUUAGUUGGGGCAGUUAAAUACAUUAGGUAACUGUCAAUGUACAUUGUAACUCUUUUAUAUUUCAAAUUUGAAUGAAAAAUGGGGAUGUUCAGUUACAAGCUUGCUGAGUAUUCAAUUUUGAUCAAAUUUUUGCUUUGCUUUUGCUCUUUCUUUGCUUCGAUUCUUCUUGCUUCAGUCUUGCAAACACUGUGUUGUAACUUUGUUUGAUGUUUGCUGCUGCCAUUGUUCCAACAAAUGGUAUCAUGAGCCCGAGUCUUUGAGGGGCCUUUGUAUGCAAUCUGUUGUGUUCGAAUCAAAACCAACAGCAAGUUCAAAAUUUGGUAAGAUUGAAGCACUUAAAAUCUGUUUAGCAGAAUGAGUUUCACUCCACCACCUCCACCAGUGUUCACUGGAGAAAACUAUAACAUUUGGAUAGUUAAAAUGAAGACUUAUCUCCAGGCACAUGAUCUUUGGAGUGUGAUUGAGAAUGAUGCUGAACCACCUCCAUUGAGAGCCAAUCCCACCAUUGCACAGAUGAGGCAACAUACUGAGGAGCGAGCCAAGAAGCAUAAGGCUAUGGCCUGCUUGCAAAAUGAAGUCUCUGAUGUGAUAUUUACUCGCAUCAUGGCCUGUGACUCACCAAAGCAGGCUUGGGAGAAGCUGAAGGAGGAGUUCAUGGGGACUGAUAAGACAAGGCAACAGCAAGUGAUCAACCUCAGGAGAGACUUUGAAAAUUUGAGGAUGAAGGAGUCUGAGACCAUCAAGCAGUACUCAGACAGGAUAAUGGCCAUUGUCAACAGCAUUAGGCUCCUGGGAGUGGACUUCACAGAGAGCAGAGUUGUUGAAAAGGUUAUUACAACUCUCCCUGAGAAAUUUGAGUUUAAAAUCUCUUCACUUGAGGACUCGAGGGACUUAUCAGCCAUUUCAUUGUCUGAGCUGAUAAAAUCCCUGUAUGCACUUGAGCAAAGGAGGGCAAAUAGGCAGGAGGAGAAUCCUGAAGCUGCUUUCCAGGCUAAAGCCAGUGAAGGCUCGAGUGUGAGUGCAAAAGGCAAGAAGCCUUGGCACAAUAGAAGGGUCAAGUCAGGAAGAGAUGAAGCAAAAAGGGUGUUCCCACCAUGUGCUCAUUGUAAGAAGACAACACAUUCAGAAAAGUAUUGCUGGUUUAGGCCAGAUAUUCAGUGUAGAAAAUGCAAGCAGUUUGGCUAUGUGGAGAAAGUGUGCAAGGGCAAACCAAGGGAGGCUGCUCUGCAACAAGCUAGACCUGCUGAGGACAUUCAAGCUCAGGAGGAGCAAGUGUUCACAGCAACUUGUUUUGUUGGCACAACCAAGGCCAGCAAUGAUUGGCUACUAGACAGUGGCUGCUCACACCAUAUGGCAGCAGAUGAGAAGCUGUUCAAAGGCCUAGACAGAAGCUUCCACUCGAGGAUUAGAAUUGGAGAUGGUAGGCUGAUUGAGGCUAAAGGCAAGGGCAGUGUGUUGAUUAGCACUGGUUCAGGUAACAAGCUGAUCUCAGAUGUGUUUUUUGUACCUGACUUAGACCAGAAUUUGCUUAGUGUAGGCCAAUUAAUUGAAAAGGGCUAUACAUUGGUUUUUAAGGAUGGUUGCUGUAUUGUUCAAGACAUGAAUGGUCUGGAGUUAGUCACAGUCUCUAUGACUGAUAGGUGCUUCAUGCUGGAUGUUAGCCAAAUAGAAAGAAAGGCAUACACCAGCCUUGUUGAAAGCACUGACUUGUGGCAUAGGAGACUAGGCCAUGCAAAUUUUAGAUCCAUCAAUCUGUUACAUAGGCUGAAUUUGGUUGAUGACAUUUCAAAAAUUGAAGUUAGUGGGAAUGUUUGUGAGGUUUGUCAGCUUGGUAAGCAGGCUAGACUGCCUUUUCCUGCUGACAGUGCUUGGAGAGCUCAAAACAAGCUCGAAUUGGUGCACUCUGAUGUUUGUGGCCCCAUGAGAACACCUUCAAUCAGUGAGAACAGGUACUUUGCCCUGUUUAUAGAUGAUUUAACAAGGUUGUGCUGGGUCUACUUCUUGAAGCAAAAGUCAGAAGUGUUUGAAGCCUUCUGCAAAUUCAAGGCUUAUGCUGAAAAUCAGUCAGGCUGCAAAAUUAGAGCCUUGAGGACUGAUAAUGGCUCUGAAUAUGUGUCUGAGAGAUUUCAGAAGCAUUGUGACAGUGCUGGGAUUCACCAUCAGCUCACAACAGCCUAUACUCCUCAACAGAAUGGAGUCUGUGAGAGAAAGAAUAGGACUGUACUGAACAUGGCCAGGUGCCUCUUGUUUCAAGGCAAGCUUCCAAGUCAAUUUUGGGCUGAGGCAGUCAACACCUCAGUGUAUCUGCUCAACAGACUGCCAACUAGAGCAGUCAAGGAUAAGACUCCUUUUGAGGCUUGGCAUGGAAUCAAACCUGUGGUAACACACUUAAAAGUGUUUGGCUGUGUAUGUUAUGCACUUAUUCCAGUAGAGAAAAGGACCAAGCUUGAGAGCAGAGCAACUCCAGGAAUCUUUGUUGGCUACAGCAGCAACAAGAAGGGCUAUAGAAUGUAUGAUCCUACAGCAAAGAAGGUUUUAGUCAGCAGGGAUGUAAAGUUUGAUGAGGAAAAGGUGUGGAAUUGGAAUGGUGUUGAGGCUGACUUGUCUGAAUUGGACCAGUUAGACUUGGUUGCUGAACCAGCAGAAGAAGGACCAAGUAAUGAUGCUGUCGAUGAUAUACCAGUGAGGGGCACCAGAACUUUGGCUGAUGUCUAUCAGAGGUGCAAUGUUGCUGUGAUUGAGCCCUCAGACUUUGAAGAGGCUGCUAAGAACAGAAGCUGGAUGAAAUCUAUGGAAGCUGAGUUGGAAAUGAUAAACAAAAAUCAGACUUGGGAGUUGGUGAGCAGACCAGAACACAAGAGGGUCAUAGGAGUUAAAUGGGUGUACCGGGCCAAGUACAAUGCUGAUGGCUCACUGAACAAGCACAAGGCCAGGCUUGUGGUGAAGGGCUACAGUCAGCAGUAUGGUGUUGACUACCUAGAAACUUUUGCUCCAGUGGCAAGACUGGAUACAAUUAAGCUGCUGUUUGCUUUAGCAGCUCAGAAGCAGUGGAGAGUUCACCAAUUGGAUGUCAAAUCAGCAUUCCUGAAUGGUUUUCUCAAGGAGGAGAUCUUCAUCGAGCAACCUGAAGGUUUUGAAGUUGUUGGACAUGAAGACAAAGUGUAUAAGUUGAGAAAGGCCCUCUAUGGCCUGAAACAGGCACCAAGGGCCUGGUAUGACAGAGUUAAUGCUUACCUGACCAAACUUGGAUUUGUAAAGAGCCUUAGUGAGCCUACUUUGUAUGUUAAAAGGUUAGAACAUGAAACCUUGCUGAUUGUCUCCUUGUAUGUGGAUGAUUUGCUUGUGACAGGGAGCAAAAUUGAGCUCAUUGAUCAGUUCAAGGUCCAAAUGCAGCAAGUAUUUGAGAUGACAGAUUUGGGGAUCAUGACUUACUUCCUUGGCAUGGAAGUGCACCAGUCUGAUCGAGGUAUCUUCAUCAGCCAACACUUAUUUGCUUUGAAGAUCCUAGACAAAUUUUGCAUGCAUAACUGUAAAGCAGUCAGCACACCUGUGGCUCAAGGAGAAAAGCUGACUAGCAGUGGUGAUCAACAGAGGGUUGAUGAGAGGCACUAUCGAAGCCUAGUUGGUUGUCUGUUGUAUCUAACAGCAACCAGGCCAGACAUCAUGUUUGGUGUCAGCCUGUUAUCGAGAUUUAUGCAUUGUUGCAAUGAGGCACAUUUGAAGGCAGCAAAGAGGGUCCUUAGAUACAUCAAGGGCACUGCUAGUUUUGGUGUAAUGUUUGAAAGUCGGAACCAACUGAAACUAGAAGGCUACUCUGACAGUGACUGGGCAGGAUCUCUCGAUGACAUGAAGAGUACCUCUGGAUACUUCUUCACACUUGGAUCGGGCAUGUUUUGCUGGAGUUCAAAGAAGCAACAAACUGUUGCUCAGUCCACAGCUGAAGCAGAGUACAUUGCUGCAGCAGGAGCAGUUAAUCAGGCCAUUUGGCUAAGGAAGCUGCUUUACGACCUUAAUGAAAAUCAAGAUGAAGCAACUGAAAUUUGGGUGGAUAAUCAGUCUGCAGUUGCAAUAGCCAAGAACCCUGUGUUCCAUGGUAAGACUAAGCUUUUUAAAAUCAAACUGCAUUUUGUUAGAGAGGCUGAACAAGCAAAGGAAGUCAGCCUUGUGCAUUGCAGCUCAGGAGCACAAUUGGCUGACAUAAUGACCAAGCCCUUAGGGGCUGCUCGAUUUGAAUCUUUGAGAAGUGCAAUUGGAAUGUGUUGCAUACAGUCCAAGGAGGAGUGUUGAAAGCUGGACUGUAAUGCAACAUGGAGCCAGAAGCUUGCUACUGUCGAGACUAGCAGCUAUCGAGCUCAGCUCAUUUUGCUUGGUGCGCACGAAUGGUUUUUGAACCGAAUGAAGCAACCAACUUUGCUGUUUUGUUUUGAUGUAAUUUGGUUCGGUUCAAUUUUAGUUUGUUUGUAAUACUAGUUAAACUUAAGUUAGUGAUAAGAUCUUUUGAUGUAAUGGCUGAUUGGUCAGCUAUGUUUGAUUAUUUUUGGCUAGUGAUUAGGUUUGUGUUAGUUGGGGCAGUUAAAUACAUUAGGUAACUGUCAAUGUACAUUGUAACUCUUUUAUAUUUCAAAUUUGAAUGAAAAAUGGGGAUGUUCAGUUACAAGCUUGCUGAGUAUUCAAUUUUGAUCAAAUUUUUGCUUUGCUUUUGCUCUUUCUUUGCUUCGAUUCUUCUUGCUUCAGUCUUGCAAACACUGUGUUGUAACUUUGUUUGAUGUUUGCUGCUGCCAUUGUUCCAACAACAGGACGCAGCAAGAAAGGUUGUUGCUGGGGGUUGUUUAAUAAGGAAAUCCCACCAUCCAUGUCACCACUUGGCUGAGUUGCACAAUCAAUCCCACUGUUGUCCUUUUGCUGCAGAAGCGGGAGAAGAGACCAAAUUAUACCUGUCCUUUCG
rnacentral:lncRNA from 1 species